GCUGGGCCAGGUGGCGUAUGCCUGUAAUCCCAGCCCCUCGGGAGGCUAAGGCAGGAGAAUUGCGAGUUCAAAGCAAGCCUUAGCAAAAGCAAGAUGCUAAGCAACUCAGUGAGACCCUGUCUCUA
rnacentral:sRNA from 1 species